UCGCUUCACGCCGGCCCAAGAUGGCGGCGGCGCUGGAGGCCCCGGGCCUGUGAUCACAAAGAGGGAGCCGGGGGCCGGACGGGAGCGCGGCGGCGGCGGCGGCUGAGGCCCAGGCCAGGCCCCCUCCCCUCAGCCUCCCGCCAGCCCGCCCUCCUCCGCCCGUCCGCCCCGCCCCCGCCGGCGGCGCCCCGCCCCUCCCCCAACCGCCCGACUAGCAUGGUGCGGCGGCCGCGCGCGCCGACAUGGGGGAGAAGCUGGAGCUGAGGCUCAAGUCGCCCGUGGGGGCCGAGCCCGCCGUCUACCCGUGGCCGCUGCCGGUCUACGAUAAACACCACGAUGCUGCUCACGAAAUCAUCGAGACUAUCCGAUGGGUCUGUGAAGAAAUCCCAGAUCUCAAGCUUGCUAUGGAGAAUUAUGUUUUAAUCGACUACGAUACCAAAAGCUUUGAAAGCAUGCAGAGGCUCUGUGACAAGUACAACCGGGCCAUCGACAGCAUCCACCAGCUGUGGAAGGGCACCACGCAGCCCAUGAAGCUGAACACGCGGCCAUCCACUGGACUCCUGCGCCACAUCCUGCAGCAGGUCUACAACCACUCGGUGACUGACCCCGAGAAGCUUAACAACUAUGAGCCCUUCUCCCCGGAGGUGUAUGGGGAGACCUCCUUCGACCUGGUCGCCCAGAUGAUCGAUGAAAUCAAGAUGACCGAGGAUGACCUGUUUGUGGACCUGGGCAGCGGAGUGGGCCAGGUCGUGCUGCAGGUCGCCGCAGCCACCAACUGCAAACAUCACUAUGGUGUCGAGAAAGCCGACAUCCCAGCCAAGUACGCGGAGACCAUGGACCGAGAGUUCAGGAAGUGGAUGAAAUGGUAUGGAAAAAAGCAUGCAGAAUACACACUGGAAAGGGGAGAUUUCCUCUCGGAGGAGUGGAGGGAGCGGAUUGCCAACACGAGUGUUAUAUUUGUGAAUAACUUUGCCUUUGGUCCUGAGGUGGAUCACCAGCUGAAGGAGCGGUUUGCAAACAUGAAGGAAGGUGGCAGAAUCGUGUCCUCAAAGCCCUUCGCACCUCUCAACUUCAGGAUAAACAGUCGAAACUUGAGUGACAUUGGUACCAUCAUGCGUGUGGUGGAGCUCUCGCCGCUGAAGGGCUCAGUGUCAUGGACGGGGAAGCCAGUCUCCUACUACCUGCAUACCAUCGACCGCACCAUACUUGAAAACUAUUUUUCUAGUCUGAAAAACCCAAAACUCAGGGAGGAACAGGAGGCAGCUCGGCGCCGGCAGCAGCGAGAAAAUAAGAGCAACACGACCACCCCGACCAAGGUGCCCGAGAGCAAGGCGGCCGUUCCCGCAGACACCCCCGUGGACUCUGGUGCUGAGGAAGAGAAAGCUGGGGCGACCACCAUCAAGAAGCCAUCUCCCUCCAAAGCCCGGAAGAAGAAGCUGAACAAGAAGGGCCGGAAGAUGGCCGGCCGGAAGCGCGGGCGCCCCAAGAAGAUGAGCUCCACGAACCCCGAGCGCAAGCCCAAGAAGACCCAGAGCGCACUGGACCUGCUGCAUGCCCAGACCGUGUCGCGGGCGGCAUCACCCUCGCCGCAGGAUGCGCACAGGCCACCUCACAGCCCAUUCUACCAGCUACCUCCCAGCGUGCAGCGGCACCCCCCUGAGCAGCUGCUGCUGGCACCUACCCCGCCCGCACUGCAGAAGCUGCUAGAAUCCUUCAAGAUUCAGUACUUACAGUUCCUGGCGUACACAAAGACUCCUCAGUACAAAGCCAACCUGCAGCAGCUGCUGGACCAGGAGAAGGAGAAGAACGCCCGGUUGCUGGGCGCCGCACAGCAACUGUUCGGCCACUGCCAAGCUCAGAAAGAGGAGAUCAAGAGGCUCUUCCAGCAGAAACUGGACGAGCUGGGCGUGAAGGCGCUGACCUACAAUGACCUGAUCCAAGCACAGAAGGAGAUCUCGGCUCAUAACCAGCAGCUGCGGGAGCAGACAGAGCAGCUGGAGAAGGGCAACAGGGAGCUGCGAAGCCGGAGCCUGCAGCUGCUCAAGGCUCGCUGCGAGGAACUGAAGUUGGACUGGUCCACACUGUCCCUAGAGAACCUGCUGAAAGAGAAGCAGGCCCUGAAGAGCCAGAUCUCGGAGAAGCAGAGGCACUGCCUGGAGUUGCAGAUCAGCAUCGUGGAGCUGGAGAAGAGCCAGCGGCAGCAGGAGCUCCUGCAGCUCAAGUCCUGUGUGCCACCCGAUGACACCCUGUCUGCGCACCUGCGGGGGAGGGGUGGCCUGGCCCGGGAGCCAGAGGCUGAGCCUGGCCGGCUGCGCCUGGAGCUGGACUGUGCCAAGUUCUCCCUGCCCCACUUCAGCAGCACAAGCCCGGAACUCUCCAUGAAUGGCCAUGCGGCCAGCUACGAGCUCUGCAGCGCGCUCAGCCGACCCUCGCCCAAGCAGAACACUCCCCAGUACCUGACCUCCCCCCUGGACCAGGAGGUCGUGCCCUGCACCCCCAGCCAUGGCGGCCGGCCAAGGCUCGAGAAGUUGUCUGGCCUGGCCCUGCCUGACUACACUAGGCUCUCCCCUGCCAAGCUGGUGCUGAGGCGUCACCUGAGCCAGGAUCACGUGGCUGGCAACAAGGCAGCCACCAGCGAUCUGCACCCACGAGUGGAGCCCACCAAGGAGAAUGGCCUCCCAUACCACAGCCCCGGCAUCACCAACGGCAUCAAGCUGAGCCCCCAAGAUCCUCGGCCCUCGUCCCCCACAGGCUUACAGAUGACGGGAGAGAAGGGCAGCGAGAAGGGUGUGAGGGAGCGCGCCUACGCCAGCAGUGGGGAGGCCAUCACCAGCCUGCCUGUCAGCAUCCCGCUCAGCACCGUGCAGCCCAGCAAGCUGCCUGUCAGCAUCCCUCUGGCCAGCGUGGUGCUGCCCAGCCGCGCUGAAAAAGUGAGAAGCACCCCCAGCCCAGGCCCACAGGCCCGAGAGACCUCCACCACUCUUGAGAAGCAGAUGGGUGCUAAUGCCCAUGGCGCCGGGGGCAGUGCUGCCGGGGGCAAAGGUCUUGCCCUGCCUCCCACAGGCUUCACCUACGCUGGCUCAAUGGCCAUCAGUGGGACCCUGGCUGGCAGCCCGGUGCCACUUGCCCCUGGAGCUGAGCCCCCCGCCUUGGAUGAGUCCUCCAGCUCCGGAAGUCUCUUUGCCACCAUGGGGUCCCGCAGCUCCACCCCGCAGCACCCGCCCCUGCUGACACAGCCUCGCAGUUGUGGCUCUGCCUCACCCGCCCCUCAGCUCUGCACCAGCCCCCGGCUGGCCACCCAGGGCCCGCUCCCUGACGCCAGCAAAGGGGACCUCCCCGCUGAGGCUGGCUUCUCAGACCCAGAGAGCGAAGCCAAGAGGAGGGUCGUGUUCACCAUCGCAGCCGGUGCUGGCAGUGCCAAGCAGUCGCCAUCCAGCAAGCACAGCCCCCUGCCAUCGGGCACUCGCGGGGACAGUGGCCAGAGCCAUGGACAGGACAGCCGCAAGCGGGGCAGAAGAAAGCGGGCAUCGGCAGGGACCCCCAGCCUGAGCUCGGGCGUGUCCCCCAAGCGCCGGGCCCUACCAUCUGUCGCUGGCCUCUUCACUCAGUCUUCAGGGUCCCCCCUGAAUCUCAACUCCAUGGUUAACAACAUCAACCAGCCUUUGGAGAUCACGGCCAUCUCAUCCCCUGAGAGCUCUCUGAAGAGUUCCCCUGUCCCCUACCAGGACAAUGACCAGCCCCCCGUGCUCAAGAAGGAAAAGCCCCUGAGCCAGACCAACGGGGCCCACUACUCCCCACUGACCUCGGACGAGGAGCAGGGCUCGGAGGAUGAGCCCGGCAGUGCCAGAAUCGAGAGAAAAAUUGCAACAAUCUCCUUAGAAAGCAAAUCUCCUCCGAAAACCUUGGAAAAUGGUGGCGGCCUGGCGGGAAGGAAGGUGCCGCCGGCCAGCGAGCCAGUCAACAGCAGCAAGUGGAAGUCCACGUUCUCGCCCAUCUCCGACCUUGGCCUGUCCAGGGCGGCUGAUAGCCCGUUGCAGGCCAGCUCCACUCUGAGCCACAGCUCCCUGUUUGCUUUCCGGCCCAGCCUGGAGGAGCCCAGCUCAGCCGACACCAAGCUGGCCGCCCACUCCAGGAAGAGCUUCUCGGGCACCCUGCCAGCGGCAGGCGGGUUGAGUCCCAGCAGCCACCCUGCCAGCGGCUUUGCCCUUGGCGGGGGCCUGGCAACCGACCUCAGUUUACACAGCUUCAGUGAUGGUGCUUCUCUCUCCCACAAGGCCCCCGAGGCGGCUGGCUUGGGUGCGCCCUUGAGCUUCCCUGCCCCACGGGGCAAGGAGGGCGGCGCCUCAGAACCUGGCCCCUUCUCGAACAAGAGGCAGCUGGAUGGACUGGGCCCAAAGGGCGAGGGGGGCCUGCCCACCUGCGGGCCCACGGACAAGGCCUCUCUGGUGCACAGCAAGGCGGGCAAGGGCCGUGACCGUGAGCCCGACGUGAAGAAUGGCCACAACCUCUUCAUGGCCGCCGCCACCGCACCCCCUGGGGGCCUCCUCAGUGGCCCAGGCCUCACCCCGGCAGUGUCCUCAGCAGGCAGCACGGCCCCGGCCACCCAGACACACCGGCCCUUCCUGGGCGCCUUUGCCCCCAGCCCGCAGUUCACACUGGGCCCCAUGUCCCUGCAGGCCAACCUGGGCCCAUCCGUGCUGCAGUCCCUGUUCAGUUCCGUGCCCGCCGCCGGCCUGGUGCAUGGCUCGUCCGCCGCCACCAGACUGACCAACUCGCACGCCAUGGGCAGCUUCUCCUCCGGGGUCGCUGGCGGCGCAGUUGGAGGUUCCCUUCCAGGGCCCCCUAAAGGGGGAGAGGCUGUGUCCACGUCUCCCUCCCGGUCCACUUUGCGCCCGCCACCUCGUUUCCUUUCAGGAAGCGCAGACGUGACUGUCGUGUGGGCAGAGCACUCACGCGUGAGUCGGCCUGUGCCAGGCUCUCUGGUUUGACGGCAUCCCUCUUACUCUCAGAGGAGCCGGCGCCACGACUCAGCUCUCCUCCUCCCUGUGGAGGGGGAGGACACCGGCAAGCCUGAUGCCGUGGGGGCUCCAGGCGGCCUUGGGGGCUGGCGCUCGCUGUGCAUACCAGGCUCAUGCAGGGUGGAGAGGAGCCCCGAGCUCACAGCUGGGGCCCCGGGGUGGGGAGAGGGGUGGCCUGGAGCUGUCCUGCAGGUAAGCCCCACUUGCCCGCGCUUUGCACCCGCACCUGUGAUGCACGCGGAGCCGCAGCUGCCGUUUGCUCCCCCCUUUCCGCGUGCUUCUCUUGGCUUAACGAGAUGCCCGCCUGUUGAAGCUGAGUUUUUCUCUCCUGUUUGCAGGUGUCUUUAACCACGCGGUGCCUCCCGCCUCCGCUCAUCCGUUUGGAGCCAGUUUCGGCAGUGGGGCUGCAUGUCGCAGCGCCACGCUGAGCUUAACCCCGCUGCAGGCGGUGGCCAGCACCCCGGCCUCUUCCUUUCAGGCCCCGUCCUCUGCGGAGCCGAGGCCGCCCCCACCCCCUCCCCACCUGGGCCGGCCCCCUCCAGGGCAGCCCGCCCUUCACGCACCGCCCCCCCCUAACGCUGCCUUGCCUCCUCCCCCCGCGCUGCUCCCGGCUAACUCUGAGCCCGUGCUUCUGCAGAACCUUGCGUCCCUCCCGGCUAACCAAGCUUUCUUACCUGCCUCCUCUGCCGCCUCUCUGCCGCCUGCUAACGCCUCUGUGUCCAUCAAGCUGGCCUCCCUCCCGCACAAGGUGUCCCGCCCCUCCUUCACGGUGCACCACCAGCCCCUGCCUGGGCUGGCCCUGGCCCAGGCCACACCCAUGAUCCCGCAGGCCAGCUCCACGGGGCCGCCCGCCGUGUGGGUUUCCCUUGGCAUGCCGCCUCCAUAUGCCGCGCGCCUUGCGGGGGUUAAGCCGCGAUAAAGACCUUGCUUAGCUAGCAGUCCGUAUUCUGUAAGGUAACUAGGAUUUCUACCUCAACCGCGAGACUAUGCAAGGACAGGGCGGGCCGGCGGUGCCGCGCCCACCACAGGACGGCAAGGACGGACAGAAGCCAGAGGACAGGCUCUACUGUGAAUCAGCGCUGCGCAGAACUGCGGAGACGGCUCCUGGGGCCUGGCUCCAGCCUGUACUGUCGAUAGUUUUAGAUAAAGUAUUUAUCGUUUUUUAAAAAGUAUAAACAAUUUUGACUUAUUUUAUUCCACUGAAGUCGUAAAGGCAACCUAUUGAGAAGUGUAAAUACUAUAUAUGAGAGGAUCUAUAUAAAGACAUCUACCGAAGGACUGGCCCGCCCGGAGACGCCGCCAGCCGGGCCGGUGCUAUCUUGUCGCCAGGCUCGCGCCUCCAUGUCCUCUUGGUGCUGACUCUCGAGGUUGACCAACGCCAAACCAGUCCUUUGAAGCGCCUGCCCAGUGUGUCCCCACCACUCUUCCUAUACCAAAGGCAGCGUCUCCAGGUGGAGGCGGUUCCUCAGAGAAGGCCCGCCCACUCAGCACUGUGAACGGACGCAGCCCGGUCCGGGAUCCGCCUUUGGCAUAGGAAGGGCCGGGUCCACCAGCGGCAAGGCUGCAGUGGCGGAGCCUCAAGGAGGGGACCCGCUCUGAGUGGUGCUGUGAGGAGGGUCUGGUACCCGACUCUUGCCUGGCUGGCUCGUGUGACAAGUGCAUUUACUUUUGUACGUCUCUGCUCAUCCUGCUCGCGCCGCAGGCCACCCAUGCAGGGUUGGCUCCCAUAGUGGUGGUUGGAAAUGCGGGCAGGUUAGUUGUGGGUGCCUGGUGUGUCUACAGGAGAGUCACGCUGACGGGUGACAGUAUUUUAUAGAGAUGUGAUGAAAAUUUAUAAAUUUCAUAGACUUGACUUCAUUUAUUUUUAGAUUUUAUGACGAAUGCACAGUAAACUAAAGAGAAAAGUGAGGGGAAACCUUCCUAUUAAAGUGCACGGUGGCGCUGGCCCAGGGUCUGCCCACCAACCCCACAGCUGGGGAUGACACCUGCCCCAUGUGGAGGGGCCAUGGUGGUGCUUGGGAACAGGAGCAUUGGGGGUGGCCGGGCAGCAGGCAUCCCCUGAGGCCCCCAGGUAGCCGGAAGGGCUCUCACCCCUCUUGCAUAGUUUUUGUGACCGGUCCUGGGUUCCUGGUGGGGCAGUGUUGUCUGUGCCUCCUGAGCACUUCUCAGUCCCCUGAAAGGGCGGACAUUGGCCAAAGGUGCUGGCAGGGAGCCCAGACUCUUGAGAUGGGUGCCCUGGCCAAGGCUGGGUGCAAGGGGUCAGAGCCCCGUCCUUAGGUGCUUGCUCCAGAGAUGGCACUAGCCAAGGAGUGUGGGAGGUGGGCCUUCCAUGGGGAUCUGAUUUGAGCCUCCCCCAGUCUGGCCCACACAACCCCACCCCUGAGGUGGAUGCCCAGAGCCCUCUGCUUGCCCGAAAGGGUCUGUCUGGUGGCCAGAGCCUGGGCCUGCUUCCUGAUCUCUGGGGAGGUCUAGAGCCAGCCUUGCGGGCAGGUGGGCGGAGGCCCUGUGGGACAGGACACAGGCCAUGAGGGCAGAGCAGGACAGCCCUGUGCAGGCAGCAGUUGGGGCUGGAGAUAGUGCCCCUCCUGUGACCAGCCACCCUGCCCCUGCCCUCCAGGGCAGCGCUUCCCAGGCACGAUGGUGCUGGCCUGGCCCUGACCCCCAGGCCCCUCUCCAAAAGGCCCCUCCCUGUGUCAGGAGUACAAGGCUCCCUGAAAAGCUGCAGGGCCAACAGGAGUGCCCGUCUGGAACAAAGCAACACUGUACACAAACACUGCGUCACUCGUUGGGGGGGUGGGCUUGAGACCGCCACACCUAGUUGUCCUCUGCACACCCUCAUGGGCCCAGGGCCUGCCGCACAGGGUGCCCAGCUCAGCCUCUUCUCCAGUCCCAGACCCUCGGCCUGAGCUCAGCCACUGACCACAGGAAGGACCUGCCGCUGCUGUUGACGCGGGCACUUCAGGUCUGAUGGCUACAGUUUUUGCUCAGGAAAACCUAACAACUAAGGCGACCCUCCCUUCCUCUAGGAAUCGUGACCUAUUUAAAAACUCACCGCUGUUAUUUAUCCUGCUCGAGGUCCGACCGUUGGUUCUCUUUCGCUCGUCCAACCACGCUUUCUCACAUCUCCACCUCAGUUUGUAAGGCUUUGCUUUGUUGUUCUGGUAGCCUGUGUUUCAGAUGGGGCGCUGGCUCCCCUCUUCCCAAGGGAACCCCACUACACUCUGCGUUUCCACUUCUAGACGCUGUAAUAAAAUACCUGUUUUCACUUGAA